rnacentral:rRNA from 1 species
AGCGAACGUUAGCGGCGCGCCUAACACAUGCAAGUCGCACGAGAAAGGGGGCAACCCCCCGGUACAGUGGCGCACGGGUGAGUAACACGUAGAUGACCUUCCCUGGAGUGGUGGAUAACCUGCCGAAAGGCGGGCUAAUACAGCAUGGGACCACAUGGUUUUGACCGAGUGGUGAAAGCGGGCCUCUGUUCACAAGCUCGCGCUCUGGGAUGGGCCUGGGGCCCAUCAGCUAGUUGGGGAGGUAACGGCUCACCAAGGCAACGACGGGUAGCUGGUCUGAGAGGAUGACCAGCCACACUGGAACUGAGACACGGUCCAGACUCCUACGGGAGGCAGCAGUGGGGAAUCUUGCGCAAUGGGCGAAAGCCUGACGCAGCGACGCCGCGUGGGUGAUGAAGGCCCUCGGGUUGUAAAGCCCUGUGGGGAGGAACGAACCGUUCGGGGGCGAAUACCCUCCGAGCCUGACGGUACCUCCUUAGCAAGCAUCGGCUAACUCUGUGCCAGCAGCCGCCGUAACAC